rnacentral:rRNA from 1 species
CCUACCUUUUACAGGGGAAUAGCCCGGAGAAAUUCGGAUUAAUGCUCCAUGGUUUAUAUGAAUGGCAUCAUUUGUAUAAUAAAGAUUUAUCGGUAAAAGAUGGGCAUGCGUAUCAUUAGCUAGUUGGUGUGGUAACGGCAUACCAAGGCGACGAUGAUUAGGGGUCCUGAGAGGGAGAUCCCCCACACUGGUACUGAGACACGGACCAGACUCCUACGGGAGGCAGCAGUGAGGAAUAUUGGUCAAUGGAGGCAACUCUGAACCAGCCAUGCCGCGUGCAGGAUGACGGUCCUAUGGAUUGUAAACUGCUUUUGUACGGGAAGAAAUGUAAUUACGUGUAAUUAUUUGACGGUACCGUAAGAAUAAGGAUCGGCUAACUCCGUGCCAGCAGCCGCGGUAAUACGGAGGAUCCGAGCGUUAUCCGGAAUUAUUGGGUUUAAAGGGUUCGUAGGCGGUUUAGUAAGUCAGUGGUGAAAUCUUAUAGCUUAACUAUAAAAUUGCCGUUGAUACUGCUAAACUUGAAUAGUAUGGAAGUAAUUAGAANUAUGUAGUGUAGCNGGUGAAAUGCUUNAGAUAUUACAUGGAAUACCAAUUGCGAAGGCAGAUUACUACGUACUUAUUGACGCUGAUGAACGAAAGCGUGGGUAGCGAACAGGAUUAGAUACCCUGGUAGUCCACGCCGUAAACGAUGGAUACUAGCUGUUCGGUUUUCGGACUGAGUGGCUAAGCGAAAGUGAUAAGUAUCCCACCUGGGGAGUACGUUCGCAAGAAUGAAACUCAAAGGAAUUGACGGGGGCCCGCACAAGCGGUGGAGCAUGUGGUUUAAUUCGAUGAUACGCGAGGAACCUUACCAAGGCUUAAAUGUAGAUUGACAGGUUUAGAGAUAGACUUUUCUUCGGACAAUUUACAAGGUGCUGCAUGGUUGUCGUCAGCUCGUGCCGUGAGGUGUCAGGUUAAGUCCUAUAACGAGCGCAACCCCUAUUGUUAGUUGCCAGCGAGUCAUGUCGGGAACUCUAACAAGACUGCCGGUGCAAACCGUGAGGAAGGUGGGGAUGACGUCAAAUCAUCACGGCCCUUACGUCUUGGGCUACACACGUGCUACAAUGGCCAGUACAGAAAGCAGCUACCAGGCAACUGGAUGCGAAUCUCAAAAACUGGUCUCAGUUCGGAUUGGAGUCUGCAACUCGACUCCAUGAAGCUGGAAUCGCUAGUAAUCGGAUAUCAGCCAUGAUCCGGUGAAUACGUUCCCGG